rnacentral:rRNA from 1 species
AGUCGAGCGAGUCUGCCUUGAAGAUCGGAGUGCUUGCACUCUGUGAAACAAGAUACAGGCUAGCGGCGGACGGGUGAGUAACACGUGGGUAACCUGCCCAAGAGAUCGGGAUAACACCUGGAAACAGAUGCUAAUACCGGAUAAUAACAGAUGAUGCCUAUCAACUGUUUAAAAGAUGGUUCUGCUAUCACUCUUGGAUGGACCUGCGGUGCAUUAGCUAGUUGGUAGGGUAACGGCCUACCAAGGCGAUGAUGCAUAGCCGAGUUGAGAGACUGAUCGGCCACAUUGGGACUGAGACACGGCCCAAACUCCUACGGGAGGCAGCAGUAGGGAAUCUUCCACAAUGGACGCAAGUCUGAUGGAGCAACGCCGCGUGAGUGAAGAAGGGUUUCGGCUCGUAAAGCUCUGUUGUUGGUGAAGAAGGACAGGGGUAGUAACUGACCUUUGUUUGACGGUAAUCAAUUAGAAAGUCACGGCUAACUACGUGCCAGCAGCCGCGGUAAUACGUAGGUGGCAAGCGUUGUCCGGAUUUAUUGGGCGUAAAGCGAGUGCAGGCGGUUCGAUAAGUCUGAUGUGAAAGCCUUCGGCUCAACCGGAGAAUUGCAUCAGAAACUGUCGAGCUUGAGUACAGAAGAGGAGAGUGGAACUCCAUGUGUAGCGGUGAAAUGCGUAGAUAUAUGGAAGAACACCGGUGGCGAAGGCGGCUCUCUGGUCUGUUACUGACGCUGAGGCUCGAAAGCAUGGGUAGCGAACAGGAUUAGAUACCCUGGUAGUCCAUGCCGUAAACGAUGAGUGCUAAGUGUUGGGAGGU